rnacentral:rRNA from 1 species
AACGAACGCUGGCGGCAGGCUUAACACAUGCAAGUCGAGCGCCCCGCAAGGGGAGCGGCAGACGGGUGAGUAACGCGUGGGAAUCUACCCAUCUCUACGGAAUAACGCAUGGAAACGUGUGCUAAUACCGUAUACGUCCUUCGGGAGAAAGAUUUAUCGGAGAUGGAUGAGCCCGCGUUGGAUUAGCUAGUUGGUGGGGUAAAGGCCUACCAGGGCGACGAUCCAUAGCUGGUCUGAGAGGAUGAUCAGCCACACUGGGACUGAGACACGGCCAGACUCCUACGGGAGGCAGCAGUGGGGAAUAUUGGACAAUGGGCGCAAGCCUGAUCCAGCCAUGCCGCGUGAGUGAUGAAGGCCCUAGGGUUGUAAAGCUCUUUCACCGGUGAAGAUAAUGACGGUAACCGGAGAAGAAGCCCCGGCUAACUUCGUGCCAGCCGCCGCAGUAACAC